rnacentral:tRNA from 1 species
AAGGGUAUAGCUCAGUGGUAGAGCAUGUGCUUAGCAUGCACAAGGUGCUGGGUUCUAUUUCCAGUACCUUCA